UACGAAGGGUGCAAGCGUUACUCGGAAUUACUGGGCGUAAAGCGUGCGUAGGCGGUUGGUUAAGUCUGCUGUGAAAGCCCUGGGCUCAACCUGGGAACUGCAGUGGAUACUGGCCAGCUAGAGUGUGUCAGAGGAUGGUGGAAUUCCCGGUGUAGCGGUGAAAUGCGUAGAGAUCGGGAGGAACACCAGUGGCGAAGGCGGCCAUCUGGGGACAACACUGACGCUGAGGCACGAAAGCGUGGGGAGCAAACAGG
rnacentral:rRNA from 1 species